AUGUGUUUGAGCUUCGGCUCUUCAUCCAGACGCUGUGCGCCUUCGGGCUGCACGCCGACGGAGCAUAUAUCCACCCCUGUGCACACACACGGUGGCGAGCUGGAUAACGGCUCGCCGCUGAUUUUUACACACGUCUAAAAGUCUUGUAUGUUUUAUUGAGAUACAAAAAA
rnacentral:misc_RNA from 1 species